UGAUGUAAGAAUAAUCUGGCUACAACAUCUGUCACUCCAUGCUUACCAGUAUUGAUUGGGCUCAGCUUGCUGGCUGGGCUAGAAUCCUAUUUUUGCCCCAAAACUCCUUGUAUGUCACCUCCCAAACCUGCACACUUGAGCUGAGAGGGCACAUUUCCAGGGAGAGAAUUUCUGAUUUUUGAUAAGAGACAUAGGGAGGCCACCACUUCUACUACACACUUGAAACAAGUUGGCAGGUUCCGCUUGGCAUCGAACUGCAACUACUAAGAAUGUGGUCAUUCUUUUAUUUACAUUUGCUCAGUGUUUUUUUGA
ensembl:misc_RNA 7SK 7SK RNA